CAGAUCAGGCUCUGUCAUAGUACAGCUAAUAGGAACACUGCUUUUUCUCUUCUUCCUGCUAGAUUUGUUUAUUUUUGUAUACACCAUCUUGUAGAGAAAUAACAAGUCACGGGCAACCACUAAAGCUACAACCAACAAACUGACAGCAAGCAACUUCUUCUAUAAGUAUGCCUUGACCCACGUGAAACAUAUCGGAACAACGCUGAUCCCAGAGCUGAUGCCUUCAGAAAUGUUGAGAACAGAUAACAUAAAAAAAUAGAGAAAUAGACAUAUUCUAUGUUUCAACAAUGUUAAAAGCCAAGGCAACAUGUAUUUUAUCUACAAGGAUGCAGAGAAGAUCUGUUCAUGCUACAUAUAUCAAAAGUUGGAAAUGUUUCCCAGCAGCAAAAUCUGAUUGGGCCAAAGAUUGAAAGAUUUCAAAAGGUUCCUGCAAAAGACUGCAUGUAAGGUGUGUUUCCUUUUUAUUUAGUAUAAAGAAACCAAACUUUUGGAAUGGAAAGAGUUUCCAAAAUCUUUCUUAUUGAAAACACCAUAUGUAAUGUUUUCUCAUUGUGCAAAGAAAUCACCUUUUUUUUUUCUUUUUCUACUGAGGAGCUUCAGCAAGACAGACUUUUUCCUAUUAGUAAACAACAAUCUUGGAAUUUUCCAAUG